AUUUUAGGGCAUCCAUCCCGAGGUGUGUCUGCUCUCCGGCAGGUGGAUUUCCCCAGUCACCGGACCACGGGGAGAGGCUGGAGCUAGAAGGCAUCUGGUGGGCGGGCCUGUCUUGGAAGCAGGAGGUGACCUUGGCCAACGAUUUCCAGGUCAAUCCAGUGACACGUCAGCUCAUGGAUUUGUUUAUUUCCAUAAAACCUGACUAAAUCUUCAACCAAGUACAAAGCCAGCACUGGAGGACCUCAUACACCAUCUAUUUCAAAGACUGGGAAAACUGUCCCUUUGUAUCCCCCUGCUGCUUCUGCUGCUGGUAUCUCUCUUCCCUCCUGCUCUUCUCCUUUUCCUCCUCCCCCCUCUUGUCUUCCUUCCAUUUCUGAGGCACACAAGUUGUCGUGGGACUGGGUCUGCAAGUGUCCCAGGGACUCCACUGACAAGCUUCGGCUAGACAGGAUGCUACUUAGGCUGGACUGGCGGGCACCUCUGGGAUGGGUCUCAAUUUCCACACGGACCUCAAUAUUGGUUCCUUCCCUGCAGUGACAAGAGACAAAUGUAGAGAAAGAAAAAGCAAAAUCCUUCCUAAAAGAGACGUUAUAAACGAGGAAAUCCAGAGGCAACAUCUACCUCGAAGGAAGCGCUUGUGUGUCAUCGAGCUUGCUGUCAGGCACAAUAACCACCUCGCAGUCCGAAGGGCUGUCCUGCUGGGUAUAUUCAUGGCGUUUUGUGGCUUCAUCCAAUCCCACAUAGCUAUCUAGCUCUUGGGGUGUGGUGCUCGUACCUGGGAGGACACCCACUUCCUGUACACUGACUCUGACUUCCUGGACGCUAGUGUUGCUGAGCGUCGGGUUGUUCUGACCCGUCCAGUGGUCACUGACUACAUGAGAGAAUAGAAGAUCUAUAAGAAAAGUUGAAACUUCAUCAGAUUAGGCCGUGUUUUGGAGCAA